rnacentral:rRNA from 1 species
CUAGCAUAUCAAUAAGCGGAGGAAAAGAAACCAACAGGGAUUGCCUCAGUAACGGCGAGUGAAGCGGCAACAGCUCAAAUUUGAAAUCUGGCCCCCAGGCCCGAGUCGUAAUUUGCAGAGGAUGCUUUGGGCGCGGCGCCUUCCGAGUUCCCUGGAACGGGACGCCACAGAGGGUGAGAGCCCCGUCUGGUUGGAUGCCUAGCCUAUGUAAAGCUCCUUCGACGAGUCGAGUAGUUUGGGAAUGCUGCUCUAAACGGGAGGUAUAUGUCUUCUAAAGCUAAAUAUUGGCCAGAGACCGAUAGCGCACAAGUAGAGUGAUCGAAAGAUGAAAAGCACUUUGAAAAGAGGGUUAAAUAGUACGUGAAAUUGUUGAAAGGGAAGCGCUUACGACCAGACUUGGGCCCGGCGGAUCACCCGGCGUUCUUCGCCGGGGCACUCCGCCGGCCCAGGCCAGCAUCGGUUCGCCUUGGGGGAUAAAGGCGGUGGGAACGUAGCUCCCUCGGGAGUGUUAUAGCCCGCCGUGUAAUACCCUGCGGCGGACCGAGGACCGCGCAUCUGCAAGGAUGCUGGCGUAAUGGUCGUCAGCGACCCGUCUUGAAACACGGACCAAGGAGUCGUCUUCGUAUGCGAGUGUUCGGGUGGAAAACCCCUACGCGUAAUGAAAGUGAACGCAGGUGAGAGCUUCGGCGCAUCAUCGACCGAUCCUGAUGUUCUCGGAUGGAUUUGAGUAAGAGCAUACGGGGCCGGACCCGAAAGAAGGUGAACUAUGCCUGUAUAGGGUGAAGCCAGAGGACACUCUGGUGGAGGCUCGCAGCGGUUCUGACGUGCAAAUCGAUCGUCAAAUAUGGGCAUGGGGGGCGAAAGACUAAUCGAACCUUCUAGUAGCUGGUUUCCGCCGAAG